GAUGAAUGCUGGCGGCGUGCCUAAUACAUGCAAGUCGUACGGAAAGGCCCUUCGGGGUACUCGAGUGGCGGACGGCUGAGUAACGCGUGGGAACGUGCCCCAAAGUGAGGGAUAACGAACCGAAAGGUGUUCUAAUACCGCAUAUGGUCUUCGGAUUAAAGCUUCGGCGCUUUGGGAGCGGCCCGCGUACGAUUAGAUAGUUGGUAGGGUAAUGGCCUACGAAGUCGACGAUCGUUAGCUGGUCUGAGAGGAUGAUCAGCCAGACUGGAACUGAGACACGGUCGAGACUCCUACGGGAGGCAGCAGUAAGGAAUCUUCCACAAUGGGGGCAACCCUGAUGGAGCAACGCCGCGUGCAGGAUGAAGGCCCUCGGGUCGUAAACUGCUUUUAUGAGUGAAGAAUAUGACGGUAACUCGUGAAUAAGCACCGGCUAACUACGUGCCAGCCGCCGCAGUAA
rnacentral:rRNA from 1 species